UGGGGGUUUAAUGCAGUCAGGCCUC
rnacentral:piRNA from 1 species